UCACAGUCAAAUCGGUUCAAUGUGGUUAUUGAGAUAAUCGAGCGCCUUUACAUGGCAUAGUAGUCACGAAGAAGAUCUGGGUGAUGUGCCUGAUGAUAAUCAGUAUGCCACUGAAGAUUCUUUCAUUGAUGAUGCUGAAUUGAUAUCAGUGGUCCAUGUCGCAAUAAACAAGUGAU